GUUGCUUCAUUCAAAUCGCGACUGCUUCGUCGAAUAGCAGUCUUCGCAGGCAAGUUUCCUUCCUCUCUCUAACGAUUGAAAAUUCUCGAGAUCUCAUCUCUAUCCCAAUUUGUUCAAAUUGAAAUAGACAGUGAGCUUCAACUCCACUCGCUCUGCCAACUCUGGAUCUAGAUCGAAGCAAAGCUUCAAUUCGCCCUCUUCAAGCCCUUCGAGUAACGACAACAAAAAGAAUAAGAAGACUACUCAGAAAACCCUAGGCAUGGCUUGGGGUUCCAAUUCUCGUUCUUCCUCCCGCUCAUCCUUUCGCAUUUCGCCUUUCUCUGAUCCCACCAGGAGUACAGACUGGAAUGUUUCUUAGAGAUGCGAAGGCUCUUUGUCCUCACCUUGUCAAUUUUGCUUUCAACUUUGAAGCAUACGAAGAGGUAAGGAGUUGACAUUUAAUUUGAUUGGCACCUAAACUGCAUGAAUAGGAAGGGGUCAACGUUUUUCUUUUGCAUCUCUUGUACACCAUGUCAUUCUAUCAGGUUAGGUUUGGUGGAGUUAAUAGUCUUUGGAUUAGUUGCAGGUGGCUGUUCAGUUUUAUAAAAUUCUACAUAAGAAUUGCAAAAGAGUGCAGGUUGUGUUGUAUAUAGUUUAUGUGUCAAAGUUGUUCCAAUUGCUUUUAACACAUUCUAUGAUAGUGGAAGAACUACAAUUUUGUCAAUUUUGUAUAUUUGUAGUUUCUUUUAAGGAUCUAAAGAGUUCAUUAAUUACUUUUAUUUGGAGUUUCAGUAGUUUUAGUUAUUAGUUAUACUCAUGACCAUUUCAAAAUUCAUAACCAUGUGGAUUGUCAUGUUAUUAGUUUUUCAUGUUAAUUUUACUGUCUGAAAAUUUUGCAAACAAAAAACAUAUGUUUUUUUUUUUUUGUUUUAGAGAUGAUUUUGAAAUAUUUGAAGUCAUGGUACAAGUCUUCAAGAAUUCCUAUUACAAGCAAAAAGAAAUUUAAAGUAGAUUUGAAGAAAAUGGAAAAUUCUAACUUGAUAUAUCUUAUGUUUUUUGGUCACAACCUUUUAAUUUGAUAUUCACUAGAUUUGAAUGAUCAUAUGAUUCGGUGUAUUGGGCUGUGUUGAUAUAAUGUUGAGCGUUUUGAGUCUCAAUUUUUUGUUGUUUGAGGAUACAUGGUAAAUUGGUUUAUUUGUUAUAGCAAAUUUGUAUAGUAUGACCUAGAAACAUGAAAUUAAGUUUGUUUGGAUAUUUGAUAGUUUUUGAGUUAUGGACUACCAAAUAAUUUAUUAUCCAUGUAAUAAUGCUUCAUUUGAUUUUAGAUUUGCAUCAGUCCCUAAUUUUCCAAAUAAAUCACGUGUCAAUUAAUGUGUGACUAUUUUGUUUCUUUCUUUAUUGUGAUUUUGGAUUACUAGAUAUACUAUAAUUAUGCAUGUGAUAUUCUUGGAAAAAUCCAUGACGUUAAAAGCAAUUAAAAAAUUGGUAUUAGAACAUACUAUAAAGUUUGCAAUGUCUUUGUGGGUGGUUCUUUUCCAAGACUAUUUUUUUUUUUUUUUGGUCUCAUUGGUAACCAUUUGGAGUUACAGGGUAAGCCUGUUGCUAUUUGCCAUUCUGACAAUCCACGCGGAACUGGUGAAAUUUCAUCUCUAAACUACCUUGCUCGUGGUUUUGGUUAGUUUCUUGAUAUAAUUACCCCAGCUAUUUGGCAUGGGUUUCUCUUUUUUGUUCAUUAAUUUUUUUUUUUCUAGUCUUCGGAGUACGGGGUGGAAUGUUUCUUAGAGAUGCCAAGGCUCUUUGUCCUCACCUUGUCAUUUUUGCUUACAACUUUGAAGCAUACAACGAGGUAAAUAGUUGGUAUUUAAUUUGAUUGGCACCUAAACUGCUUGUAUGGGAAGUGAUCAAUGUUUUUCUUUUGCAUCUCUUGUACACCAUGUCAUUCUAUCAGGUUAGGUUUGGUGGAGUUAUAGUCUUUGGAUGAGUUGCACGUGGCUGAUUAGUUUUAUAACAUUCUACAUAAGCAUUGCAAAAGAGUGCAGGUUCUAUUGUAUUUAGUCUACGUGUGUCAAAGUUGUUCCAAUUGUUUUUAACACUUUCUAUUACUGUGGACCAAUUACAAUUUUUUCAGUUUUGCA